AAGUCUGACCGAGCAACGCCGCGUGAGUGAAGAAGGUUUUCGGAUCGUAAAACUCUGUUGUUAGAGAAGAACAAGGAUGAGAGUAACUGUUCAUCCCUUGACGGUAUCUAACCAGAAAGCCACGGCUAACUACGUGCCAGCAGCCGCGGUAAUACGUAGGUGGCAAGCGUUGUCCGGAUUUAUUGGGCGUAAAGCGAGCGCAGGCGGUUUCUUAAGUCUGAUGUGAAAGCCCCCGGCUCAACCGGGGAGGGUCAUUGGAAACUGGGAGACUUGAGUGCAGAAGAGGAGAGUGGAAUUCCAUGUGUAGCGGUGAAAUGCGUAGAUAUAUGGAGGAACACCAGUGGCGAAGGCGGCUCUCUGGUCUGUAACUGA
rnacentral:rRNA from 1 species